CAGUAGCCACGGUAAUACGAAGGGGGCUAGCGUUGUUCGGAUUUACUGGGCGUAAAGGGCGCGUAGGCGGACUGAUAAGUCAGGGGUGAAUCCCAAGGCUCAACCUUGGAACUGCCUUUGAUACUGUUUGUCUUGAGUUCGAGAGAGGUAAGUGGAACUGCGAGUGUAGAGGUGAAAUUCGUAGAUAUUCGCAAGAACACCAGUGGCGAAGGCGGCUUACUGGCUCGAAACUGACGCUGAGGCGCGAAAGCGUGGGGAGCAAACAGGAUUAGAUACCCGCGUAGUCCCUGUCUCUUAUACA
rnacentral:rRNA from 1 species